CCAAUUCUACCACAUGCAUUCUAAUUCUUUGAAAAACCUUAUACAUGGUUAAGCCUUCUCCUCCCUCUAAGAUCCUAUAAAAUAUUCUGACACUCAAAGUCUUUAUAAGGUUGGAUCCGUUCCUUUAAAAUUCUGCAAAUACACAUUGACGCUUAAGUUUAUAAGGUGUUUGUGAGGUUUAAAUAUUGAAAAAUAAGCAUACCUUGCGGAAUGGUAUCUCCUCCUUUUAUUCAUCACGUGAAUGUCCUUUUUUCGAUCUAGAAUCAGCUCUUAUAAGUUCGAAAACAUAAUUCCUU
rnacentral:lncRNA from 1 species